rnacentral:rRNA from 1 species
AUUGAACGCUGGCGGCAGGCCUAACACAUGCAAGUCGAACGAGUGGCGGACGGGUGAGUAAUGUCUGGGAAACUGCCUGAUGGAGGGGGAUAACUACUGGAAACGGUAGCUAAUACCGCAUACCAUCGGAUGUGCCCAGAUGGGAUUAGCUAGUAGGUGGGGUAAUGGCGUACCUAGGCGACGAUACAUAGCUGACCUGAGAGGGUGACCGGCCACACAGCAACUGAGACACGGUCCAGACUCCUACGGGAGGCAGCAGUGGGGAAUAUUGCACAAUGGGCGCAAGCCUGAUGCAGCCAUGCCGCGUGUAUGAAGAAGGCCUUCGGGUUGUAAAGUACUUUCAGCGGGGAGGCGUUACCCGCAGAAGAAGCACCGGCUAACUCCGUGCCAGCCGCCGCGGUAAUAC